rnacentral:rRNA from 1 species
GAGUUUGAUUCUGGCUCAGAACGAACGCUGGCGGCGCGUCUUAAGCAUGCAAGUCGAACGGUAAGGGAGAGCUUGCUCUCCCCUAGAGUGGCGGACUGGUGAGUAACGCGUGGGUGACCUGCCCUGAAGAUGGGGAUAGCUAGUAGAAAUAUUAGAUAAUACCGAAUGUGCUCAUUUACAUAAAGGUAAAUGAGGAAAGGAGCUACGGCUCCGCUUCAGGAUGGGCCCGCGUCCCAUUAGCUGGUUGGUGAGGUAAAGGCCCACCAAGGCAACGAUGGGUAUCCGGCCUGAGAGGGUGAACGGACACAUUGGGACUGAGAUACGGCCCAAACUCCUACGGGAGGCAGCAGCUAAGAAUCUUCCGCAAUGGACGAAAGUCUGACGGAGCGACGCCGUGUGAAUGAAGAAGGCCGAAAGGUUGUAAAAUUCUUUUGCAGAUGAAGAAUAAAACACAGGAGGGAAUGCCCUGUGAGAUGA